rnacentral:rRNA from 1 species
UCGUAGGUGACCUGCGGAGGAUCAUUGCACACACAUUUGCGAAUGCCAACCCCUUUGCGAACUUUACCACUGUCCCACCCCCAACUGGCUCCGGCCAGCCCGAGUCUCCUGACUCUGACCGAACACGGCGAGGGGGACCCUAACCCGUGUUUUGGUUGGAUGUGGGGACUCGGUGUUUUGGGAAACUCCAUGUACAAACAUUGGAUGGCGCAAUGCAUCAACACUUCAAAAUUUGACUGAGUAUGAUACCAAGGAGAACGACCGUGGUGCCCCCCCGGCCCCCGGGAGUUCGAGUUGUGUUUAAGUGAUAAACAAAAACAACUCUCAGCAACGGAUAUCUUGGCUCCUGCAACGAUGAAGAACGCAGCGAAAUGCGAUACGUAGUGUGAAUUGCAGAAUUCCGCGAAUCAUCGAGUCUUUGAACGCAAGUUGCGCCCGAGACGAAAGUGUCGGGCAUUCCUGGCAGAGCGUCACCGCGCCACCCACCGACCCCCCACUCCGCAUGGAGUGCGGGCCGAGUGGAACUGGCCGUCCCAGUGAGAGAACCGCCGCCGCUGCUCCUUCGGGAGUGGUGGCGGUGGUGACUGGGUCGGCUGAAAUGGAGGGAAUUCUUGGCCCCGCCGCGGCGACACAGCCCGCGAUCAGGUGAUCCCGGCCCCCCGCAAGGGGAAAAGGGAAAGUGUUGGUUGGCUGUGUUGUCCCCCCAGGAGUUGGAUUCCGAAGCAGGCAGGCCCCCUUUGUCAAAAAGAGGGCCGCGUCACGCAUGGAGACCUCUGAUCAGGAAAGACUACCCGC